ensembl:lncRNA
GUUUUUCUUGGAGGAGUUAAUUUUUAAUUGUUCAUAUCUGUAAAAGAUAUCUCUAGGUGGUCAAGGAAAUUUGGGGAUGAUUACAGUCUUUAAAUGGUAAUUUACAAGAUUAAAAUUAAUUUGGUUGCUGGUGGUUCCGAACAAAUAUGUACAGCUCUUUUAUCCCAGGUACAUCUUUUUGAAGACUGAGAAAUUAGAGUUUUAUCCCUGAGGAUAAAGAAAGUGUUUUGGAAAGUAUUUUAUAUCGCAAAAGUGCAAAUCCUCAUACUGAUAAUCUGAAGGGCCUGUACAGUGUAGCAGACCUUGGAAACAAACCCAGUCAGCUUGAAGAGUCUCAAAAGGACCCUACCAGUGAGAAAUCAAGAUGGCAGUCCACUAUGGGGAAUUGAGGAAAAUGGAUUAAUACAAGAGUGCUGUGAUAAAAUACCACCAAGACAGGGUUCUUUUAACAUGGAUUCAGUGAAAUGAAUGAAACCUAUCUUAACCAACAAAUGGACAGUGGAUUUGACUUUGUAAAGACUUGUAUCAUUUAAACUAGUUUAUUUUUGACAUUUGGAGAAGAUGGCACGUUAACACAGAUGGUAGCGUGGAUACCUGAAUUUUUUUUUUGCAUAUUUUGAUUUGUUUGAAUAUGACCUCAUGGAAUGUUAACUUUAAUAAAAU